rnacentral:lncRNA from 13 species
AUAAGAUAAUAUAGACAAAAUUGGACAGGGGAACAAACAGAUAUGCAUUUGUGUCAGGUGGGCAGGGAGUGACUGCACCUGUAAAGACAAGCUAUCAAUUUCUAUUGCCAUGGUGAAAUUUUAACAGAAACACUUUGGGGUAAAGAUCCUGGAGAUCACUAAGAGUUUCCCUGUGAACAAAAUCUGGGGGAGGCAGGUGGCUUUUUUUUUUUUUUUAAAUCUUGUAGUCAUCUUAUUUAGGAACCAAAAAAGUGGAAUGCAGGUUUGCACGACCAAGUUCCCAGCUUAACUUUUUCCUUUGGCUUCAUGAGUUUGGGAUCUCAAUAUUUAAUUUCCUUUCACAACGAUAAUAGUACUUGCUGUUUUAAUUUACUGUGAUUCUGGAUAAUUUGUUACGCAGCAAUAGAUAACUAAUGCAUGUUGAUAUCAUGUUUUCAGGAUGCAUAAAUACACUUUCUACUGAUUUUUUACUUAUUUCAGAAUAAGCAGAUUUAUUGUCCAAAAUAUUGAUUAAUUUACUAACUUUGCAUUAAAACUUGAGAGACAUGCAUCAUAUAUUAUGUUUUUAAUGAACAUUUCUUUAUUCUGCUCUAUAGAAACUGGCCGAAUUUGAAGCAGAUAGUGACUACUCUGUGGAGAGACAGCUGAAGGGAAUGAUGUGGGAAAUCUCAGCUUUCCUGAGACACACACUGGAUUAGGACCUCGGAAAGAGCUACUCUCUAACCUAAGGAGCAUUUCUCUGCAGUUUUGUCUCUUUGGCACAUGGUAGGCCUGAAGUCUACAUGAGAAGAACAGAUAUAAACCCAUAAACCCAGCAUCUGGUUCAGACACAGGGUUUCCCAACCUUGAUCUCAAAGGAGGAUUUCUGCACUCUGUGUUGCAGAUCCCAUCCCAGAAAUCACAUUUCGUAUUGUUCUUCCUUAGACUCAUCUUUGUGGGGACAGUUUCAGGACCAAACUUUUACGGACCUUGAGUGUUUUGAGCAGUACUAAACAGGUAUUUUAUUAGGAUGUCCCUCUAGUGAACUUUGAC